GACUGCCGAAACCAAACACCGAUUCUCGUCUGAUCACUGAAGUUACGCAAAGUCGGGCCCGGUUAGUACUUGCAUGGGUGACCGGCUGGGAAUACCGGGUGUUGCGGCCG
rnacentral:rRNA from 1 species